rnacentral:lncRNA from 1 species
AUGGGCCAAAGUUACAUUUAUUUAUGUUUGGUUUGUACCACUUCCUUACGGUGGAGUGGAGCUCCCUUCCGGUCUGGUUUCCGUGCUCAUUCCCGUGCUGGUUUUCCAUAACAGUCUGCUGUGACCACGUUGCGAUGUCCUGGUUCCUCCUCAUUAGCAUGGCUUUGUUAGAAACUCCAAAGUUUCUUGAGUUCUCAUAGUCUCCCCUCUAAUUUAUGUGGUUGUACAACUGCAUUUUCCUGAGGUCAGGAUGAGCCCUGGAUAAGUCAGGCGUGGAUGUUCAUCGGCCUCAGCCGUGUGGCUCCUCUGUCCCCCCGUGAGCCCACCCGCUGUCCGGGGGAGUUGUGCUGGCACAGAACUGUCCUGUUGUUCCUCUGGCCGUGUGUACGUCCUGUGUCUCUGUUGUCCUCUGGCAGCGUGACCGAAUGUGCUGGAGUGCGGAAGAUCCAACACUCUGAGUGUCCAUAAGAUCAUUUUUGGUAAGCUUGGCAGUAGUUCGUGCAAGUGUCUUACUUUCCCCUUCUCAUCUAACAGCUUUAAUAUUAAACUGGCUAAAAAGAGAAAUCUGUCGCAGCCCUGAAGAAAAAGGUAUUUGUUUCCGAAGAGCGGAGUCCUUUUGUUAAAAUGCAUGUGUAAGAUUUAAAUUCCUGUUUUUCCUUGGGAGAUAAUGGUAUUUGAACAUGCAGUCUAAACUUCUUUGUGCUUUGUGUAACAUAGCAGUGGACUUUUGUGAUUGGCACCCAAGGAAUUCGACUCCUGGGAUUCAUGGUUGUGAUCCUGGCUGCACUCUGGACUUUGUUUUGCUAACCAUAAUUGAGCAACUGUACAUUACUGCGAUAUUAAUGUUUCAAAGCACUGGGAUAGUCUAAUUCUAACUUGUAAUUAUGUUUGCCAAUUAUCUGUUUGGAAAGUUGGUGUAUGAACAGCUUCUUGAAACUGUUAAAUUGUACAGAUAUUGUUCAUGAUCUAAAGCUUUGUACUGUGGAAUGUGCUUAAUAAAAAAAAGUUUGAACUUAAUUUGUCA